AACGAACGCUGGCGGCAUGCCUAACACAUGCAAGUCGAACGAGACCUUCGGGUCUAGUGGCGUACGGGUGCGUAACGCGUGGGAACCUGCCCUUAGGUUCGGAAUAACUACCCGAAAGGGGUCCAAAUACCGGAUAAUGUCUCCGGACCAAAGAUUUAUCGCCUUUGGUUGGGCCCGCGUUGGAUUAGCUAGUUGGUAGGGUAAAAGCCUACCAAGGCGACGAUCCAUAGCUGGUCUGAGAGGAUGAUCAGCCACACUGGGACUGAGACACGGCCCAGACUCCUACGGGAGGCAGCAGUGGGGAAUAUUGGACAAUGGGCGAAAGCCUGAUCCAGCAAUGCCGCGUGAGUGAUGAAGGCCGUAGGGUUGUAAAGCUCUUUUACCCGGGAUGAUAAUGACAGUACCGGGAGAAUAAGCUCCGGCUAACUCCGUG
rnacentral:rRNA from 1 species